UACGGGGGGAGCAAGCGUUGUUCGGAUUUACUGGGCGUAAAGGGCGCGUAGGCGGUCAGCACAAGUCAGUUGUGAAAUCUCCGGGCUUAACCCGGAAAGGUCAACUGAUACUGUGCGACUAGAGUGCGGAAGGGGCAACUGGAAUUCUCGGUGUAGCGGUGAAAUGCGUAGAUAUCGAGAGGAACACCUGCGGCGAAGGCGGGUUGCUGGGCCGACACUGACGCUGAUGCGCGAAAGCGUGGGGAGCAAACAGG
rnacentral:rRNA from 1 species